UACAGAGGUCUCAAGCGUUGUUCGGAUUCAUUGGGCGUAAAGGGUGCGUAGGCGGCGCUGUAAGUCGGGUGUGAAAUUUCGGAGCUUAACUCCGAGACUGCAUUCGAUACUGCGGUGCUUGAGGACUGGAGAGGAGACUGGAAUUCAUGGUGUAGCAGUGAAAUGCGUAGAUAUCAGGAGGAACACCUGCGGUGUAGACGGCUUUCUGGACCAUUACUGACACUGAGACACGAAAGCGUGGGGAGCAAACAGG
rnacentral:rRNA from 1 species